GCCUCUCCUUCCCCUCGACUCUUCCUCUCCUCUCUCUCUUCGUUCCCUCCUUCCUCCUCCCGACGCCAGCAGGGGCGACGGCAACGACGCCGACCAACAGCGGAGCGGCACGCCGCAGCCACCCUCCUCCUCCUCCUCCUCCUCCUCCUCUCUAUCUCGCCUGACUUCCCAGUGUGGCGGCAGGAGCCGCGGCCAGCUCGUCCGGCUGGCCCGAGGCAGCGUACCGGCACCUCCACCGCUCCCUUCCCCACCCUCGUGUCCUCUCCCUUCCUCUCUCUCCCCGCGACCAUGACUGUGUCUGGCCUGAGGAAACCCUAGGUGCCAUGGGGGCCUCCGAUCUGGUCGCAGCGAACCGACCAGGCCCUGCUGGUGGCCGCCGACGUGGUUGCGCGCCCUCCCUCGCCGGUGGAAACCAGAAGCUUCUCUCUUCCUCCGUCCUCUUCCCGAUGUUGCCACCAGGGGCGACCAAGACGGCGAUGGGCGCGAGGCGCGGCAUGGCGGAUGGCCACCCCCUCUCUCUCCCCCUCUGUUCCCCUCACGGGUGAGUCCGCACCGGCAGCCCCCUCCUCCUCCGUUCCCCUCGCAGGUGAGUCCCGACAAUCUCUUCUCUUUCCCUCCCUCUCUCCCGAUGCGGCAGGGGGCGGCGCGAGCAGCCCUCCAGCUGCAUGCGCAUAGGCGUGGCUGAGCCCCGUGGUGGCCAGCUCCGUAUGUCAGCCGCGGCCGCAUGGCCCCCCUCCUUCCCCUGCUCAGGCGGGUCAGCGGUGCAGCACAGCGUGGCGCCUGCGGGUACCGCUGGUGGGCGCAGGUGCGGCCUGCUCUCACCUGUCCACCGGUGUGGCUUCUUGUGGUCGGGUCCUCAUCUCUUUGCCAUGGCUCCUAAUGAUAAAGGCACCAGGUAGCCUUACUCUGAAUCUGAUUUAGCCUUUCCAUAUGUAUAUUCUCUGUGUAUCAUACAUAUUUGUUCUCAAGAUAUAUUUACCUGAUAUAUUGUAACUUCUAAUUAAAUUUGUCAUGCUAUAUCGAGUUCUAUUUUAAUUCGCAGCCUUUCCAUAUGUAUAUUCUCUGUGUAUCAUACAUAUUUGUUUUCAAGAUAUAUUUACCUGAUAUAUUGUAACUUCUAAUUAAAUUUGUCAUGCUAUAUCGAGUUCUAUUUUAAUUCGCAGACAGCUAGGAGAUAUCGAAGGUCGUUUGGUUUCCAAAUUGGUGGCUGUGUUAUAUUGCCUAUUUCACCGAAUUGUCCUGUUUAGACCACCUCAUUGUAUAGUUCGUAUUUGUGUUAACUAAUUAGGUUUACUAUAUUGGGGUUCUUUUUUUGUUUGGAUAAUCUUGCACAUUGUUGAGCUAAUUACUGAACUCAACAGAAACAUGUCCGAGAAGGAGUUCAAGAUAUGGUUACAGCUAAGUUACUCUUAUUACGAACAUGUUGUUUGCUUCUAAUUGUUUACCAUUAUACUAUGCUCGCAGAUUAGUUUGGGUUCUAAUUAUGCAUGCUCAGUUGCUUCAUGUUGUCUCUGUUGUUUCUUGCCUUCUUGAAGAGACUCACUAUCUCUAAGCAGAUUUACAUUACAACGGAUUAUGAGUCAGAACCCCUAAAAACAAAUUUAUUACUAUGCUAGUUUCUCAAUAUCUACUGCCUUUGAGUGCUGAAAAAAAUAUCCUAGUUACAUUGCAAUGGAUUAUGAGUCAGAGCCCCUACAAAGAAAUUUAUUGCUAUGCGGGUUUCUCACAUAUUUUAUCUACUGCCUUUGAGUGCUGAAAAAAUGUCCCGGUCCUACAUUGCUGAUUUUUUGAUUUAUAUUAGGUAUGCGAAGAAUUACAUGAACAAUAUUUGGAAUUAUGCAGAGGUGCAUGUAUAAGUAUGCAGAUUUGCAUUUACAAAAAUGAGUAGCUGUGCUUUUUGUUAUUUGCAUUAUGCUAACUUUUUAGAUAACAAAUGAGCUUUUGUCGAAAUAUUUCUCAGGGCAUAUGGGUUCUUGGAGAGUGUGCUAUCCAACAUGAUCUUCCUAGGAUAUUCUGAAGGAAAUAGGUGAGUUUAGAACUUUGUUUUGGGCCUUAAUCGCUUUUUAGUAGUGAGUACAUGACUGUAGGUACCAUCUUAAUCCACAUGAAUAGUUGAUACAGGAUGCUUAUUACCUUUUUCUAUCUCAUGUGCUAAUGAAGUGCCUGAUGCUUAUUUAGUUCGUGAUGAUUUUUCGUUUCCUUGUCUUCAAACUAUCAUGGCUGAAUGUUUUGAGCUUGAUCUGCUACUUUUUCAAGAGAAAUGUUAGAAUUGUAUACUAUGGAGCAAUAUCGUUGUUGUUGAUUGUUUACUGCCUUAGUUCAUCCAGAGAACUAUUAGUAUUUUUCCUAAAUUAGUUGCUGAGAUAACUUCUUACACGAAUGGUAUUUGCUCCAUGUUUAGAAUAAGUUUUUGUUGUUCCUAAGAAUAUUCAUGAGCUUAAAUGUAACAUUGUUUUUUUCUUCACUACCAUUUGUGAUGCCAUUAUUUUCAAAGCCCCCUGUGUUCAAACCUUGGCAUACCUGAAUGGUUGCUUUUUAAUUAGUUACUGGGACCUGAAUGAUGCCAGUAGUCGAUUUUAGAUGGAAACUCUGCCUGUAGUGUGUGAUGUGUGUAUCUUUUUUUGUUCUUACAUGAUUUUUUAUUGCUGUUCUGAUCUGUCUACAAUUGAGGUACAAUGCAUAGAUGUAUAUGCACUUUCUAUAGUCUACAUUGCAUCUGAAUUUUAUGUGCUCAAGUUGAAUCAAUAGAAUUGCAGGAUCGUUACAUGAGUACGUACUUCCUAGUUUCUUAUACGUGUUACAACUUAUAAGAGCAUAAUUAUUGUUUCUUGAAUAGCUGGUGUGUUGUGCUAAGACAUAGCUGGCCUCUUAUGCUGCCAACUCUUCAAACUAUUAAUGAGUUUGCCAUUGGUCCAAUGGAAAUUCCUGGAUGCUCUAAAACAACUCUUAUUUUUUGUCUCUUCGAGUUAGUCUAUGUGCUUUAUGUAAGAUGGUUUUUACUAUUAUUGUUAAUGGUAUAUUAUGAGUGCUUAGGUUAUAUUGACUAUGACAGUUCAUUCCAGUUUAGUUAAAAAUGUCAAAUAUAUUUGCUACUAUUGCUAGAGAUGAAGCUUGCAGAUAAUAUCUAGCUUACAUCCUCGAUUGUAAAAUAGAUAUGGAGGAGUACUUAUCGCAGCAAGACUAUGUCACCCAAAGGAAAUACUCUAUUUUCCCUGCCUUCAUUCAGAUGCUACCUAAAAUCAGUUGCAAAUCAUUAUGGUUCUAUGGCUUGACAGAAUAUGGCUAUAUUUUUACAAUUUCACCACCUAAUAUUGUUUAUUAAAAGUUUGUGCAACUUCAGACCUUUUAAAUGGCCACUCAGUUUCUAUAUGUGCAAGUUAUUACAAAAAUAUAGGCAUCAGAGAGGUAAUCAAUUAAUUUACAUAUUACUUGGAAUUUAUUGUAUACCUGAAACAGCUGGUUAUUAGUUUACAUUUUUUUAGUCUUAUGUCCUGAGGUUUAGGCAACCUGACAACUUCUAAAUGCUCACUGCUUUUGAUCUCAUGGUGUGUGCCUUGUGGUGGUUCAGUCAUGGUGCUGGCUAGCAGUGCCUAUCUUUGAAAUUGAUUGGCAAACUGCAAGUGAUGGUCAAGGAGUCUAAGUGCAUCAUGCAGCUGAAAGAAGGUACAUAUUUUAUUUGUUUUCAUAUUAGGCGAGAUACAUAGUUACCAAUUGCAGUUAUGAGUUUCUCAUUAUAUAUUGCUUACAAAUUUGUUGCUACAGGCAACUUUGGUCCAUGUAGUCGCGCAUUGACAACUCAUUUUAAGUUCCAACAAAAACAAAAACUCUAAAUCAACAAACAUUUUUUUCCAUAUAUAUGAGUAUUGGCCUAUUACUUUGUUUUCGUUGAGGAUCUUUUAUCUUUCUUGUGUUGACCUUGAUCAAUUUACUAACAUUACUGGAAUCACUAGGUUUAGAUUUCCCAGCCAAAUCAAGGCUACCAUCGAUAGUUAUUCUCUUCCAAAUUGCCAUGCCAUAUUUUUCUCUUUUGCGAAUUUAUCUAUGCAUUAUUACACCAAAGUUGUAGUACUCUUCCCUUCUCCUGGUUUGGGUAAUGCAAAUUAGAGAACGCAGUGAUGAGAGAGAGUUUGUUUACCUGUAGCACAUUAGUAGAGUGCCUAACAGUAUUAAGCAAUUUAGAAAUGCUAAAAAGUCUGCAAGGAUUAGCUUCUGUAUAUGUACCCAUUCUUUGAUGGUGUGUCAGAUAUUUGAUAACUUUUGUACAGCAGCUAAGAUGGAUCCUUUAUUAGAAUACAAUAUAAUGAACAAAUAGUAAAUAUAUUUUUUCUUUCCGAUCACCUGGUUUCCAUGGCUCCAUUUUCUUAUGAACAAAUAGUAAAUACAUUUUUUAAGAUGAAUGCUCUUUAUCACUUCAUGUCCCUUUAGCUAGCUCGUUGGUCACAUGUAAUUUUGAAUGUUGAUCCUCUUUCUUGAUUUGUGCAAUAUAAUUAUUCCAUGAAUUGCCAUGAUUUUGUACCAUCCACAACACCUGCUAUUUCUUUGUUCGUGGUCAAAAUUUAUAGCAUAUAUUCUACUGGUAAAAAUGCAUAGUCAGAUAUUUUUUAAAUAGCUGACCUUAUUAUUAUGAGUGAUCUGAUGGUGUGUGAGAGAUUUUGUACCUUUUCCACGCUAGCUAAAAUGGACUUAUUUUUUGUUUAGUGGAUUUACCCUAAUAACGCCCAGAAAUUUUUUACCGGUCCACCUCGGUGACAUGUCAUCUUCGGCUUUUCUUAUUAUUGGUCCACCUCUGCACAGGUAAUUCGCUUGGCCGUGCUUUUUCCAUGUUGUCUAAAAAACUCCGCCCACAUGUCACUCCCCCAUCGUUACUCCACCUUGCUGAACACCUCUUCCAAUGUUCUCAGCAUUUGCCAUUUCCCGUUUCCCCUCUCUUCAGCCUAUGACCAAAAUUUUAUAUUUUUUGCUCAAUGAUAUAAUCUGAUGCUCAUCCGCUUGUGAGGUACUUAGCAUGGCUGUCACUUAUAUUAUGUGAUUUUUAGGGUAAAUCGUUUGUCAGCAUGCCUUGAAGCUCCAAGUUGAUUAACAAAUGAUGAUUGCUAUGCUUCUGAGUUCUCUAAAAAUUCAGUUUUUAUUCAUAAAGAUUCUUGCCUUCUUUAUUGGUGAAGCAUACUUUCGUUGUCAUUGUUAUUUCACAGAACUGUUGUCAGGAAGUGAUAACUAAGAAGGAUGAUGUUGCCAAAGAGCUUCACGAGCUUAUCACCCUAUAUGGUGUGAGUUUGCAUUUACCCUAACAAGCCGUAGGCACUCGCCGGGCAGCCAGAGGGGUCAUGUUGCCCCAAUAUUUCUUACUGCUCCACGCCGACAUGUCACCUUCACGUUUUCUUAUUAGUCCACCUUUGCUCAGCUCAUCUGCUUGGCCGUGGUUUGUCCAUGUUGCCAAAAAAAUUCGUCCACAUGCCGCUCCCCAAUCGCCGCUCCGCCCCUUCUGAACGCCUCUUCCAAUGUUCUGAGCAUUUGCUAUUUGCUAUUUUCCCCCUCUUCAGCCUGUGAUGAAAAUUUCAUAUCUAUUUCUCAAUGAUAUGAUCUGAUGUUCAGCCUCUUGUGAGGUACUUGGCAUGGCUGUUGCUUAUAUCAUGUGAUUUUAAAGGUUAAACCGGUUCACAGCAUGCCUUGAAGCUCCAAGUAGAUGAACAAAUGAUGAUUGCUAUGCUUCUAAGGCCUCUAAAAAUCAUGUCUUUGUUCAGAAAAAGAUUUUUGCCAUCUUCAUUGCUGCAGCAUACUUUUGUUGUCAUUGUUAAUUCACAGUCUUUUUUGAAUUCCCUGGUAGUGUCAUUAACUUUGUAAUACCAAUAUUGCCUAUUCAUGAUCUAUCUCUGUAUAGUAUCUCAUUUAUCAACUUUGUGGACAUCGGUUCCAAUGUGAUUUGGGGGCUCUUGUUGUAGUGGUAACUUUUUUAACCAAAAAAAAUGCUCAUCAUGUCUGUUUAAGGUUGUGCGAUGUUGUCGUUCAAAAGUUACAUAUUACAUUUGUUACGUAAAUAAUAGUUUGUUGCCUACUUCAGAUUUGUGAUGUACGAACUGUAGCAAGAUAUGUUUCAUCAGUCCAAACUUCACCCAUGAAAGGCAACAUUCAAGUGCCUUUUAAUCUUAAAUUGGAGCCUUCUUAGUAACCUAAGCUUGCUUAGUUCAAUAGUCAGUGUACAGUGCCAGGCUGCCAGCUGUCGAUUUCUUCCUGCUGCUCAAUAUCUUCAUAGGCACUUUGUUUAUAUAGAUUCACGAUUUUGGAUGGACCAUAUGGUGUUGCUGCUUGUUGGCACCCUGCUCGGAUAUCUUGCAUGGCAUCGCCCAUAUUGGUCAUGCGUCAAUCUAUUUUCUUCAACAACAAGACAUCGAGCGAUUGUCACCGGUACACAACUCAAGCGAACAUGAAUGUGAAUGUGAAUUCAACCGCAGCAUGAAUUACUGAUCAUCGUCGCGUCCAACCUGAAGACCAGCAAAAAUCCAACCUGAAGACCAGCAAAAAAUAACCAUCCUUACAAGCAUGUCUGCCGCUCUCAUGUACUAUAGUAGUUCGACACUGCCAAAACCUAUUGUAAUAUCGGGUCUGCGCCCUACUAAUCUUGCACAAUGUACCUAUCAACUACUCACGAUUAUUACUGAAGUUUGUGAUAAUAUGUAUAUAUAUACAACCAGCUCUCUUUUCCUGCGUUA